ACACAUCUACUGAUCUCUGGUUAGAAAGAAACACACAUCUACUGAUCUCUGGUGAGAAAAUGUGUAUCUUUCUAACCAGAGAUCAGUAGAUGUGUGUAA
rnacentral:pre_miRNA from 1 species